rnacentral:rRNA from 1 species
GUAGGCGGCAAUAGCGAAGGGGAGACACCUUUCACCAUUCCGAACAAAGAAGUAAAGUCCUUCAGCGCCGAUGGUACUGCCCUAGGGUGGGAGAGUAGGUCACCGCCUUCU